CCCUUAGAUGUCCUGGGCCGCACGCGCGUUACACUGAUGCAUUCAACGAGCUUAUAACCUUGGCCGAGAGGCCUGGGCAAUCUUGUUAACGUGCAUCGUGAUAGGGAUAGAUUAUUGAAAUUAUUAAUCUUGAACGAGGAAUUCCUAGUAAACGCAGAUCAUCAAUCUGCAUUGAUUACGUCCCUGCCCUUUGUACACACCGCCCGUCGCACCUACCGAUUGGGUGUGCUGGUGAAAUGUUCGGAUCGGCCGUUUGCCGCGGUUUCCGCGUCAUGUGGCUGAGAAGUUCAUUAAACCCUCCCACCUAGAGGAAGGAGAAGUCGUAACA
rnacentral:rRNA from 1 species